rfam:Oryza sativa Japonica Group DNA, chromosome 3, cultivar: Nipponbare, complete sequence.
AAAAAGAGACAAAACCUAGGUUUUUCCGUCUUAUAUAAUUUUUUUUUAUAAUUCAUAUUUUAUUAUUAUUAGAUGAUAAAACAUGAUUAACAUUUUAUGUGUGACUUGUCUUUUUAAUUUUUUUCAUAAUUUUUUUAAAUAAGACGGACGGUCAAAUGUUGGACAUGGAAACCAGGGUUUGCAUUUUUU